rnacentral:rRNA from 1 species
CAGUAGCCGCGGGAACACGUAGGGUGCGAGCGUUAAUCGGAAUUACUGGGCGUAAAGCGUGCGCAGGCGGUUGUGUAAGACAGGUGUGAAAUCCCCGGGCUUAACCUGGGAACUGCGUUUGUGACUGCACAGCUAGAGUAUGGCAGAGGGGGGUGGAAUUCCACGUGUAGCAGUGAAAUGCGUAGAGAUGUGGAGGAACACCGAUGGCGAAGGCAGCCCCCUGGGCCAAUACUGACGCUCAUGCACGAAAGCGUGGGGAGCAAACAGGAUUAGAUACCCCCGUAGUCCCUGUCUCUUAUAC